CAUGGCCGCGGCAGGAUGGACGCGCCCCUCAACAAGAUGGCGACGGCAGCAGCCCCGCCUCCUCCUGCCGCACCGGCCAAUGAGAGAGAAGCACGAGGACUUGCGCGUGCGUGGUGCGGCCUAGUGGGCGGGUCCGGUGCGGGGACACGGCGAGCAACGAUGACUAAAAAGAAGCGGGAGAAUCUCGGCGUCGCUCAGGAGAUUGAUGGGCUAGAGGAGAAGCUGUCUCAGUGUCGGAAGGACCUAGAGGCUGUGACCUCCCAGCUCUACAGGGCAGAACUGAGUCCUGAGGACAGGAGGUCUCUGGAAAAGGAGAAAACCACCCUCAUGAGCAGAGCCUCCAAGUAUGAGAAGGAGCUAAAGCUGCUUCGGCAAGAGAAUCGGAAGAACAUGCUCCUCUCGGUGGCCAUCUUCCUCCUCCUCGCUCUACUCUAUGCCCACUGGACUAUUCACACAGACUGAUCCUGGAUUGUCACGGUGCCACCACGGAGUGAGCUGUAUGAUUUACGUAAGAGGGAAGGUGCCUCCCCACCCUUCUGGGGCUGUGGAUUCAUUCAUUCCCUGAUCCCAGCUUUAAACAGGAACUGCACCUUGAUGCCUGUGGGCUGUCAACCAGGUAGCAGCCCAGGAGCUGGAGAGGCAUGAAUUCCACAAACCCUCCCCUUUCUCUUAAAGUCAGACCCCAGCCACACAAGCAAUAAAAAUAUGUUUAAUGAUCCAAGAUUCUGCAAGACACAUUGAUAGGCCCAGAACUGGGUGGACACAUGGCAUCCUAGCACUGUGGCUGCUGGCUUAGGGAUAGAGGCUGUCAGAAGGGACCUGCUACAGUGGAGUCAAUUCCAGCCUCACAGGUGCCUCAAUGCCCUAUCUCCAUGGAAACCAGCCUGGUGCUGGCAUGGGGCCCUCAGGACCUGCAUGAAAAUCUCUUGAGGUACCUCCCAUUAAAAACAUCCACAGGUGCCCUCCCCAAACCCAAAGCUGCUGCUCUUCCUCCCUCUUCAAGAGACAGAGGAAAUGGAGUGACCACACUGUAUGUACCUCUUAGUGGACAGGAGGGGCACCAGAGCCACCACUAGCUCAGGGCUCUGCCAAGAGCGGCUUCAGGUGGCCUGAACUGCCUGAGGGCUGGUGCUCCACCUACCCUGGAGGGGUAUCUUCUCUUACUGCAGGGAGGGAGAGAAAGACAAGGUCUUCAGUGCUGCCCAGUGUUUAGAACACAAUAGGCAGACCCAUGAAAGCCCUACAACUCAGUCACAGUCACACCCAGUACCCGAGACUCUGGUGUGUCAGGGAUGCUGGGCCCUCACUCCUUCCCAGCCUGCCAGGAUGAACUCCAGGAUGGGAGUGGGAAAAAGAAACAAAUAAAACUCUUGAUUUGUACAACAGCUGCUCUUGGCCAACGCAUGAUGGUGAGCCUCCUUGCUUAGCUGGCCUGGUAAAAGUUGGGAAAGACGGCCUGACUGCCCUCAGAGGCAGAGAAUGGAACUCAGAAAACAGAGUCUAUAAAUUCCAGAGGGAAUGGCUAGGCACUGACCUGCCCCAAGCAGCUGCUUUCAGGCUGCCUCCUGAUGGUGUCAGUUCUCAGGUAGCAGAGUUCCACAAGGAUGUGUCCUCUAAAGACCCGGAUUGAGCUACUUGGGAAUGGAGAGGAGUCCAUCUCCCUCAAGACCAGGGAGAACAUUCCCAGUUCCUUUCCAAGAGGCAGAAGGAACCAGACACAGGGCCUGCCUUGAGAACGACAGGACAUUGAUGAGGUGGAGAUCCUAAGAUCCUCCAGGAUUGUGACUCUGGAUGAAAGAAAGGACGUCCUCCUUGGACAGCUUGUCUGGAUCCUGAGGCUUCUGGGAAUCACGCAUGUGGAAGCCAUCUCCCCACUCCCAGAAGAGCCGGCUGUAGUAGCAGGUGCUGAGCUAGCUCCCAGCUGGGACUCAUCUGCAGCAAGACAGUGAAAGGCAGAGAAUGGAGCAGUGCCAGGGCCCAGCUCUAUAACCCACCCCUGCAAAUAGAAUGCAACUCCACUCAACUAUACACCAAUCUAAACCAGACUGGGCCAGUUACUCACCUGACAAAGAUCUUCUCCAUCUCUUCCAGCCUGUACACCUCCUUCACCCUGUGAGUAGAGCAGGAGGCCAUGCGAUCGGCAAAGGAUAUUCAAGUAUGAAAGGGUAACUCAGGGCAGGUGUGUGCAUCUCAGACUAGGAAACUUUAACCCACCCUGCCAGGCAGGAUAGGGAGCUGCAUUCCCAAACCACUGACAGGGCAGUUUAGCUCCAUCCCCUUCCACAAGCUUCCCACCCCACUCAGGACAGGAGAAAUAACAACAAAGCCACAACCCCAAGAGGGGUCUUGGAGGAGGAUGACAUGCUCACCUGAUAGGAUUCAUGUCAGGUCGACUGGGCUUGGAAACUGCUUUCACAAAUUUCUCAGCAAGCUGAAUUCUACAAUCCAAAUAGAAUCCUUAGAGGCAAGCCAGGGGACCUCACCAACACCUGUGCCCCAAGGCAUUUUCACAGCAUCAAUGAGAGGACCUGGGCCUACACAAAACUUCCAAGUGGCAGCAUUCUUGUCCCCUAGGGCCCAACCUGUCCUCUGGGUUCUGGCCUCUCUGAGCUGGUUUCCCUAAAGUGUGCCUUUUGCUGUGUUCAGUCAUCUCCACUAGGACUUCAAGAACCGUUAUUGUAUACAUCUGCUCUUUCACCCUAGCCCAGACACACCAAACUGAGACUGCCCAUGUUCUGGCCAUGAUUUUUAAAAGAAACCCUCCCUCUUCAAACAAACUCACCCCUAUUCACAGUCUUUACACACACACACACAAUUACUUCAAUCUAAGCAACUGUAGCAAUAUGAAAUGUGUUAGAAUUGGGCAACCAAGGCCCACAUCUCAGCCAACUGCAAUGUC